rnacentral:rRNA from 1 species
UGGCGGCCUUAGCGCGGUGGUCCCACCUGACCCCAUGACGAACUCAGAAGUGAAACGCCGUAGCGCCGAUGGUAGUGUGGGGUCUCCCCAUGCGAGAGUAGGGAACUGCCA